rnacentral:snRNA from 1 species
GACUGACUCUGCAAUUCACAUAUUAAAAUUGGAACGAUACAGAGAAGUUUAGUAUGGGCGUCUGACUUAAGGAAACAAAACAUUCUUUCAGAAAUGUAAUAGAUUUCU